rnacentral:rRNA from 1 species
UACGUAGGGGCCUAGCGUUGUCCGGAUUUAUUGGGCGUAAAGAGCUCGUAGGCGGCUUGUCGCGUCUGCUGUGAAAACCUAAGGCUCAACCUUGGGCUUGCAGUGGGUACGGGCAGACUAGAGUGCGGUAGGGGUGACUGGAAUUCCUGGUGUAGCGGUGGAAUGCGCAGAUAUCAGGAGGAACACCGAUGGCGAAGGCAGGUCACUGGGCCGCAACUGACGCUGAGGAGCGAAAGCAUGGGGAGCGAACAGG